UACGUAAGGUGCGAGCGUUAAUCGGAAUUACUGGGCGUAAAGCGUGCGCAGGCGGUUUUGUAAGACAGGCGUGAAAUCCCCGGGCUCAACCUGGGAACUGCGCUUGUGACUGCAAGGCUAGAGUACGGUAGAGGGGGAUGGAAUUCCGCGUGUAGCAGUGAAAUGCGUAGAUAUGCGGAGGAACACCGAUGGCGAAGGCAGCCCCCUGGGUCGAUACUGACGCUCAUGCACGAAAGCGUGGGGAGCAAACAGG
rnacentral:rRNA from 1 species